AUAUUCAGAGAUUCUAGCGAUUUAUAGCGAAUUUCCAAGCGAUUUCCUGCGAUACAGAAGAAGACAGAGAAGACGACAGAGAAGAAAGAAGAUUCCUUAUUGAGACCAGCAAAUACCAUCUAGAGAAGAGGAAGAAGAACUUGCCCACCCUAUUCCUGAUCAUCUGAAGGAAGGGGCAGCAGAGAUGGGCUUGUGUCCCAGCAGGAAGUAUGACUUCAUGAAAGGCUACAGCCAGGCCUCAAGGUGGAUCUACAGGGAGGAGGAGCACGGGAUCUUUGAGAUCACCGAUUUUGAGGAUCCCCGGGUGAGCCCUUACUUGGACUGCAUUAGGCAGUACAU